AGCGCACCGACGCUCCCGAGGGUUCCGCUAGUUCCUCAAGACACCCCACUUAUCGAUAAUGUUUCCAUCACACUGUGGCAACGAUUCCACCAGUAGAUGGAGCCCACAGAACAAGCCACGAUCUGCAAACCUACUUUCACACCAUCAGGAAGCUGAGACUAGAAGUGUCCACUAAGUCUUACCACCAGUCAAGUUGAGCAUUCCUUUUUCCGAAUCCAUCCUACGUGCAACAUGUCCGGUUUGAACUCAUUAAAUCAUUUCUGUGGACAGAGUGGGAGAAGUAGGGCAAGUGCUCGAAGCUGCAGAGUGGGUGAGGAAGUCUAAGUUAUGCCAGUUGUGGGGGCUGUAAUGAUCAUGCAACUACUUCUUUAGCAUUUUGUGAUUUAGCGUUUGUAUUUGUUGUAACCCACCUCAUGACAAACACAGACUGAAUAAGUGGCUUGUUUAAUCAGAUAUAUUUAUUUUCCUUUACAAAUAAUAAAGCAAAGCUACAAAGACAGAAGCUUUCACACAAGAAAAAUACAUCAGGUACAGUUCAAACAGGAGCGUAUUUCAUCUUCAAUACAGCACACAUUUCCAGCCAACUUGGAUUCUUUUAGUCCAACUUGACAAUUAAAAAUAGAAAACACACAAUUUGAAAGGAAAGAAAAAAACAAGGUGUGAACCAGUCGUUUUUUUAAAGGGUUAGCUCAUGAAA